AAGUCGUAACAAGGUUUCCGUAGGUGAACCUGCGGAAGGAUCAUUAACACGUAUCCAAACGAAACCCCCCGUGAACAUUCCUUGUAACCCGCGUAGUUCGCAAUCAUAGCCCCAAGUAGUUUUGAUUCAGAGACCUCUGGCUACGUGAGAACAUUGGAACAGUUACAAUCCAGCGGUAGUUUCAUGGGAAUUGUUUCCCAAGCAGUCAGUGUCUGAAGGAUAGCGCUUCAACGAUUCCUGUAGACCGUACACUCGGGCAGGAGCUAUGCCAGAGGGUCCCCAUACCCCCUUAUAACCCCACAGUUUAAUGUGAAGCUCAAUGUAAUACAUUGGGUAAAAAAACCGAACAACUGUUACAAUGGAUAUCUUGGUUCUC
rnacentral:misc_RNA from 1 species